rnacentral:rRNA from 1 species
UACGUAGGGGGCAAGCGUUGUCCGGAUUUAUUGGGCGUAAAGAGCGUGUAGGCGGCCAGGUAGGUCCGUUGUGAAAACUCGAGGCUCAACCUCGAGACGCCGAUGGAAACCAUCUGGCUAGAGUCCGGAAGAGGAGUGUGGAAUUCCCGGUGUAGCGGUGAAAUGCGCAGAUAUCGUCUGGAACGCCAAAGGUGAAAACAGCUCGCUGGGGUUGUGCUGACGCUGAGACACGAAAGCCAGGGGAGCGAACGGG